AACGAACGCUGGCGGCAGGCCUAACACAUGCAAGUCGGACGGUAGCACAGAGAGCUUGCUCUCGGGUGACGAGUGGCGGACGGGUGAGUAAUGUCUGGGGAUCUGCCCGAUAGAGGGGGAUAACCACUGGAAACGGUGGCUAAUACCGCAUCACGUCGCAAGACCAAAGAGGGGGACCUUCGGGCCUCUCACUAUCGGAUGAACCCAGAUGGGAUUAGCUAGUAGGCGGGGUAACGGCCCACCUAGGCGACGAUCCCUAGCUGGUCUGAGAGGAUGACCAGCCACACUGGAACUGAGACACGGUCCAGACUCCUACGGGAGGCAGCAGUGGGGAAUAUUGCACAAUGGGCGCAAGCCUGAUGCAGCCAUGCCGCGUGUAUGAAGAAGGCCUUCGGGUUGUAAAGUACUUUCAGCGGGGAGGAAGGCGAUGUGGUUAAUAACCGUAUCGAUUGACGUUACCCGCAGAAGAAGCACCGGCUAACUCCGUGCCAGCCGCCGCCGUAA
rnacentral:rRNA from 1 species